CCUACGGGUGGCAGCAGUGAGGAAUAUUGGUCAAUGGACGAGAGUCUGAACCAGCCAAGUAGCGUGAAGGAUGACUGCCCUAUGGGUUGUAAACUUCUUUUAUAUGGGAAUAAAAUGUUCCACGUGUGGGAUUUUGUAUGUACCAUAUGAAUAAGGAUCGGCUAACUCCGUGCCAGCAGCCGCGGUAAUACGGAGGAUCCGAGCGUUAUCCGGAUUUAUUGGGUUUAAAGGGAGCGUAGGUGGAUUGUUAAGCCAGUUGUGAAAGUUUGCGGCUCAACCGUAAAAUUGCAGUUGAAACUGGCAGUCUUGAGUACAGUAGAGGUGAGCGGAAUUCGUGGUGUAGCGGUGAAAUGCUUAGAUAUCACGAAGAACUCCGAUUGCGAAGGCAGUUCACUGGACUGCAACUGACACUGAGGCUCGAAAGUGUGGGUAUCAAACAGGAUUAGAUACCCCUGUAGUC
rnacentral:rRNA from 1 species